UGUUCAUUGGCUUAAUUGGUUAAAGCGCUCAUCUAGCGAAAACGGUAUCGUGGGUUCGAAUCCCACCAGAACGC
rnacentral:tRNA from 1 species